rnacentral:rRNA from 1 species
GGAUUAGAUACCCUGGUAGUCCACGCAGUAAACGUUGAUCACUAGGUGUAGCGGGUAUUGACCCCUGCUGUGCCGAAGCUAACGCAUUAAGUGAUCCGCCUGGGGAGUACGGUCGCAAGAUUAAAACUCAAAGGAAUUGACGGGGGCCCGCACAAGCGGUGGAGCAUGUGGUUUAAUUCGACGCAACGCGAAGAACCUUACCUGGAUUUGACAUCCUGGGAAUCCUUUCGAAAGUUUGGAGUGCCCUUCGGGGAGCCCAGUGACAGGUGCUGCAUGGCUGUCGUCAGCUCGUGUCG